GAUCACGAGAACCGGUCACACAGGCUCUGGCUUGGCCGGUCGGCAACCCUUUCCCGCGUGACGGGGUGCCCCAGAUGACGAUCCGGCCGCGAAGCUCGUAUUCACUGAGAUGGAUUUAUCUUCAGCGGCAAGCACGGCGC
rnacentral:ncRNA from 2 species